GAUGAACGCUGGCGGCGUGCCUAAUACAUGCAAGUCGAGCGAACAGACGAGGAGCUUGCUCCUCUGCCGUUAGCGGCGGACGGGUGGGUAACACGUGGAUAACCUACCUAUAAGUCGGGGAUAACUUCGGGAAACCGGAGCUAAUACCGGAUAAUAUAUUGAACCGCAUGGUGCAAUAGUGAAAGACGGUUUUGCUGUCACUAAUAGAUGGAUCCGCGCCGCCUUAGCUAGUGGGUAAGGUAACGGCUUACCAAGGAGCCGAUGCGUAGCCGACCGGAGAGCGGGUUCGCCCCCACGGAACCUGAGCACCGGCCCAGACCCCUACGGGAGGCACAGGUAGGAAAUCUUGCCCAAUGGGGGAAAGCCUGACCGAGCAACGCGGCGUGGGUGAUGAAGCUCUUCGGUUCGUAAAACUCUGUUAUGGGGGAAAAACAAAUGUGUAUGUAACCAUGCUCGUCUGACGGUUACCUAAGCAGAAGGCCCCGCCAACUUCCUG
rnacentral:rRNA from 1 species